CAGCGGCCAUGGCUCAUGGGCCCAGCCGCUCCGCGGCAUGUGGGAUCUUCCCGGACUGGGGCACGAACCCGUGUCCCCUGCAUCGGCAGGCGGACUCUCAACCACUGGGCCACCAGGGAAGCCUUGUCUUUAUGUCCUGAUGUCAGAGUUUUGCUAUCAGAGUAAUGUGGUCCUCAUAAAAUGGGGAAUAUUCUCUCCUUUUCAAUUUUUUGGAAAGAGUUUAUGUUUAAUGGUAAUAUUUCUUCCUUAUAUAUUUGGUAGAAUUUAUCAGUGAAGUGAUCUGGGCCUGGAGUUUUCUUUGUGGAAUGGCUGAGCUGUUAACUACAAAUUAACAUGCAUUCCAUUCUCAUAGGGCGAAGUGGUCUAUAAAUGCCGAUUAGGUCAAGUUGGUUGAUAAUGUUGUUAAGAUCCUCUGUAUCCUUAGUGAUGAUGUUCUGUUUACAUAUUCUAUUAAUUUUGAGAGAAGGAUAUUGCAGUCUCUUACUGAAAUUGUGGAUUUCUCUCUUUUUCUUUGUAGCUUUAUCAGUUUUUGCUUCAUGUAUAUUGAAGUCAUAUUAUUAGAUGAAAGAACAUUUAAGCUUGCUGUGUCCUCUUAAUGAGGCUAUGUUGUUUUGCUUUUUUGCGUGUUUGGCAAUUUUUUAUUGUAUGUUAGACAUCUCAACAUUGUGGUUUUCAUUUCUAAAAGUUUGACAUAGAUCAUUUUUACACAGAAUUGAAUGUUUGAUUUUGUUGUGUUUCUUUAAACAGUGGUGUUUAAACACCUAAGUGGUUAUUCAGAGUACACAGAAGUUCUAAAAGUUAUUAUUAUAAUAGCCAUCUUCACACAUGCCUGAGCAAGUAUGUAAAGUUUAUAUACAAUGAGUAACAUAUGAUCUUAAUUUGAGAGGAUUUGUAAUAAUCUUGAUGAAAAUAAAAAGAUAUGUUUUUGUUUUUGUUUUUGAGGUACGCGGGCCUCUCACUGUUGUGGCCUCUCCCGUUGCGGAGCACAGGCUCCGGACGCGCAGGCUCAGUGGCCAUGGCUCACGGGCCCAGCCGCUCUGCGGCAUGUGGGAUCUUCCCGGACUGGGGCACGAACCCAUGUCACCUGCAUUGGCAGGCGGACUCUCAACCACUGCGCCACCAGGGAAGCCCGAAGAUAUGGUUUUGAAAUGAAUUUAAGAUACGAAUAAUACAUUCAAGAAGCCAAAGGAGAAACAACAAUUUUUCAUUCUAUACCACAUUUACUUUUGAGUAUUUAAUCAUAUUUAAAUGAAAUCUAAAUGAAAAAUUUUUAAAUAUAAACAAUUAAACAUUUCUUCAGCAUAUACUAUAUUCAAGGCAGUGUGGUAUGAGCCAAAAAAGGAAGACAUAAUAUGUCCUGGUUUUGAGAAAUUUAUUGGGUUGGCCAAAAAGUUAAUUUGGGUUUUCCCGUAAGAUGUAAUACUCUUUGGUUGGGGAAAUAAGACAGAAAAAAAGGCAAGUAGUGUCAAAUGAGUAUAAGUACUAUUAGUAUAACUUGGUCUCUGUUGUCUGUAGAGAACUCAAAAUUUUUAAUAUACAUUAUAUCUACAAGGGUCCAAUGGGAGUCAGUUAUGUUAGGACUGUCUCAGGACCCUAAACAACACAAAGCAUGAUACCCCAAAGCCCCCAUUGCUGAAUGCCAUUCUCCUUCAAAAAGUGUUGUUGUUCUCAGUGGCAUCCUGUCUACUAUUCCUGGGAAAAGAGAGACUAAGUUUGUCAGACAGAAGCUGCAUCCUAACUCUCUCUCCUAGCUUGUGCUUCAGACAUCCACCGGCUUGCACUGGGUAACACCCUUUGUUUGAUUAAUCCACUUCUAAAUCACUUAUCUGCAGCCUUUCUGUAUGAAGACUUAAGGGGCUCCAGGGCAACUGAAACUACAGAGGUGUGGCUCUACAGGAGCAGAAACCGUGAGACCGAGAAGUUUGUGAACAAUGGGCUGGGUCCCGUUCAGUCCUUUCAUCCUGGUACAGUUGCCCAUAGAGAAGGAACCUUGUUCUUAAAAUGGCAGUGAAAUUCAUUGAACAUGAAUUCCCAGAGGAUAGGAGAAAUGGGCCAGACUUCUCCUACAAAUAAAGAAACAGAAAAAGAAAGAAGUAAAAUGACAUUUCCCACAUCACUCUGUUGGCAUGUUACAGGGCAAAGGUCUUUCAGGACACCCGAGAAGAAACAUUUCUCAACGUUGUUCAUCAGCUGCCUUCUGUCUCAGCUGCCUCUGGGAUAAUCCUCUCCCUGUGUGAGGGCUGACCUGGAGAGCAGUGCUGAGCCUCUGAUCAGACGCUAUCCCACGGAUGCUCAGGGAACAGAAUCCCACUGAAUGGAGCAUAGAUGUUUCUGAAGGUCUGAGGAUCUGUGCCCUUCUUCAGCCAAGGACUGCUGGUGGGAAUGUCAACUGAAGACCUCGAGCAGGAAGCCUUUGUUACUUGAGUUUUUUAGGCAAGAAACAAUGAAAAAUUACUGUAUCCACUUCAAGAAAUGAAUAACAGAAAUGGAAAACUGAUCGUAACAAAUUGAAUGCAGAAUACUAAAGCGUAGUAUUCGUGAAUAAUGAAUAUCUGCAUGUUGUCUAGAGAAAGGGGAAUGAGAAUGAAGUCCCCGACUCUCAUUCUUUUUUUGUCUUUUAGCAUCAGCAGGGCCAGGAAGAGGAUCAUUAACAGGAAGGUGGAACACUCACAGUUAACCCCCAGGAACAGAAUCUAGGAUUUCCCAGGAAGGCAUUAUUAGCCUUCUUUCCUGCAGACAUUGUGGUGCAUCUUGGGAAGAGAAACUCAAAUUAGCUACCAAAAGCUAUGUCCUAUGGUUUUAUUGAAAGAGAAUACUGAUCAGCCCAGGGAAAAUAAUAUUCUUGAGAAUUGCACAUCUUGGAACUGAAGAAAAUGAGAAAUUGGAGGGAAACUAUCCAUGAGAUAUUGGACUGCUGUCUCUGACGAUGUUCCAGUGCCCCCUGAGGGCUUCUGCGUGUAAUAAAAGCAAACGAAAAAGCGGCUUUGUAUGAAAUAAUUCACUAUGCAGGAACAAAGCUGAAUAUGGGACUCAAAGGAUCUCUGAAGUAAAGAUUAACCGCCAGUCAUCAGGAAACCUAAAGUCAUUUGAAAUAAGAGGUGCCACAAGCCAGAAGACAGAAGCCAUAAACACAUACAAUAUUAAUAAAGCAAUUACAGAAAUAUUAUACUGAGGGGAAGCUAUAUCUCAUGAUGGAAGAAAUACAGGAAUCACCCCGUUGAAAUCGGUGAGGGAGAUGAAGCUGCAGUUCUGUGCUCCCAGACCCGCCCAGCAGAUGGCACCUUCCCCGUGGAGACCUAAGUUUUCACACUAUCUGGCUGAAAUCCUCCUUCAACUUCAUAUCGGGCUGCAGACCAUCUCUUCCUGAAAGCCCACCAGAUCAUCAAAUUCAGCACGUUCCAGAUGGCGCGGAGGAUCUGCUGCCAGGGUAUUUGCCUUGUGGCCAGGAUUGGUGUCAUACGUUGGAUAUCUCCGAAAUAACCAAUACAUGGCUUCUCAGAAGCUGAAGGGUCUCCCUCAUUAGAGAGCCCUGUGAAGGAUACUCGGAGCUCCGCCUCCCAGCUUCCUGUUUCAAACCUGCUGCGUACGGCUGCCAACAGAACGGAGUGUGAUAAGGACCCUCAAACAGCCCAGUGAAGAGGUCCAUAUGGCAAAAAACUGAGGCCUUCUGCCAAAAGCAUGUGAAUGAAUCAUCUUUGUAGUGGAUCUUCCAACCCUACUCAAGCCUGCAGGUAACUUCAACCCAAGGUGAUGUGUUGCCGUGCAGCCUCAUGAGAGAGACUGAGCCAGAAGCACUAAGGUCCGUUUCAUUCUACGGGAAUCAAAGAUGCAACUGACAGCACGUGGCAUAUCAUUUUUAUGCGGGCCUCUCACUGUUGUGGCCUCUCCCAUUGCAGAACACAGGUUACGGACGUGCAGGCUCAGCGGCCAUGGCUCACGGGCGCAGCCGCUCCGCGGCAUGUGAGAUCUUCCUGGACCGGGGCACGAACCCGCGUCCCCUGCAUCGGCAGGUGGACUCUCAGCCACUGCGCCACCAGGGAAACCCCA